UUCAUUUUCUCAAAUAUAAUCGAUAUAAUAGCUUGGGUUUUACCAAUUCUUCCAGAAGCCUGGGGUUGCUCAGUCACCACAGAGGCAUCCACAGUAUUCCCAGCGUGAUGUUGAAGACUUCCUGUCACAU